CCUACGGGUGGCAGCAGUGAGGAAUAUUGGUCAAUGGACGAGAGUCUGAACCAGCCAAGUAGCGUGAAGGAUGACUGCCCUAUGGGUUGUAAACUUCUUUUAUAUGGGAAUAAAAUGUUCCACGUGUGGGAUUUUGUAUGUACCAUAUGAAUAAGGAUCGGCUAACUCCGUGCCAGCAGCCGCGGUAAUACGGAGGAUCCGAGCGUUAUCCGGAUUUAUUGGGUUUAAAGGGAGCGUAGGUGGAUUGUUAAGUCAGUUGUGAAAGUUUGCGGCUCAACCGCAAAAUUGCAGUUGAAACUGGCAGUCUUGAGUACAGUAGAGGUGUGCGGAAUUCGUGGUGUAGCGGUGAAAUGCUUAGAUAUCACGAAGAACUCCGAUUGCGAAGGCAGUUCACUGGACUGCAACUGACACUGAGGCUCGAAAGUGUGGGUAUCAAACAGGAUUAGAGACCCGGGUAGUC
rnacentral:rRNA from 1 species